rnacentral:lncRNA from 10 species
AGUCUCUAGUUUCCCUUCGGGAGGCGAAGACAUGACGCGGCGGGGCUUCCGCGGGGCCGAGGCGGCGGCGCGGUUCUCGGGCCGGGCGGGCGUGCGCGAGUGAGCUCAGGAGUGGGCUCCCGAUAAGAGGAUGAAUUCAGCCCUCCUUCCUCUUCUUUCACGUGUUCUCUUGCCCUUCCACCCUCCACCAUGGGAUGACACACCAAGAAGGCCUUCACCAGAUGUGGGCCCUUGACCUUGGACUUCCCAGCCUCCAGAACUAAGGAGAAACCAACUCCAAGUUCUUAUUGGAAUAUUUACAGGGUACUGGAGGGGCUCACAGUAUUAAGGAGAAGACUCCGGCAGCCUCUGAAAGAAAGAAAACUAGGGAAGCUCUGGAAACACCAAUAAACGACCUCUGUCUAGG